rnacentral:rRNA from 1 species
GACGAACGCUGGCGGCGUGCUUAACACAUGCCAGUCGAACGGAAAGGCCCUGCUUUUGUGGGGUGCUCGAGUGGCGAACGGGUGAGUAACACGUGAGUAACCUGCCCUUGACUUUGGGAUAACUUCAGGAAACUGGGGCUAAUACCGGAUAGGAGCUCCUGCUGCAUGGUGGGGGUUGGAAAGUUUCGGCGGUUGGGGAUGGACUCGCGGCUUAUCAGCUUGUUGGUGGGGUAGUGGCUUACCAAGGCUUUGACGGGUAGCCGGCCUGAGAGGGUGACCGGCCACAUUGGGACUGAGGUACGGCCCAGACGCCUACGGGAGGCAGCAGUGGGGAAUAUUGCACAAUGGGCGGAAGCCUGAUGCAGCAACGCCGCGUGCGGGAUGACGGCCUUCGGGUUGUAAACCGCUUUCGCCUGUGACGAAGCGUGAGUGACGGUAAUGGGUAAAGAAGCACCGGCUAACUACGUG